rnacentral:rRNA from 1 species
AGCUCCAAUAGCGUAUAUUAAAAUUGUUGCAGUUAAAAAGCUCGUAGUUGGAUCUCAGGUGCGAGUCGUCGGUCCAGUCUUGUGCUGUGACUGUGCGUUCUCCGCCUUCAUCAGUCGUUAGACGCUCUGUGGUGCUCUUUACUGGGUGCUACGGAGUGCACGGCACGUUUACUUUGAAAAAAUUAGAGUGCUCAAAGCAGGCCAUUGCGCUUGAAUAGUCUUGCAUGGAAUAAUGGAAUAGGACUUCGGUCUAUUU